rnacentral:rRNA from 1 species
UACGUAGGUGACAAGCGUUGUCCGGAUUUACUGGGCGUAAAGAGCGCGCAGGCGGUCGUUCAAGUCGAGUGUGAAAGCCCCCGGCUCAACUGGGGAGGGUCAUUCGAUACUGAUCGACUCGAAGGCAGGAGAGGGAAGUGGAAUUCCCGGUGUAGUGGUGAAAUGCGUAGAUAUCUGGAGGAACACCGGUGGCGAAGGCGGCAUCCUGGACCGGCAUUGACGCUGAGGCGCGAAAGCUAGGGGAGCAAACGGG